GCUGGAACGCGCGGCAGCUCUACCGCGCAAGUCCUGAGGUUGCGGGUGCGCUCCCGUUCUUGGGUGGUAGCCUUGGGCGUUCCAGUCCCAGACGGUUAAUCGAAUAGAUGUUAACCGAAUGCCCAGGGCUUGUCAGACGGCUUUGUGUGAUGUGGCAGUGGUGUCAAAACAAAGCCCUGUCCUCACAGAGCUUUCGUGAGUGGAGAGAAGUCCGGGUACAUUCAGAUAGUGACACCGUGAAGGGACAUAGCGAAAAAGAGGGAGAUCGAGGGGGAGGGGCUACUAUUUAAAAUAGCUUAAUUAUAGCAGAAGCUCAUUUUACAGAAUUCUGGAGGAACAGGGACACGUGACCGUCUGAAGGAAGGGUGGUUCGAGUGGAAGGAACGACAGACAUGUAAAGGCUCGGAAUGGGGACUUUCGUGGCGGAGUAGUUGGGGGAUUGAGGAGGAGGAGCUUACAGGAGUCCCUACAGAGUGGAGCCAGUCAGGAUGCGGCUCAGCCGGACCUCCCACUCCAGUGACAGCAACUUCGUGAAGGUGGCCCAUGACUUCCACUUGGCCAGAUCCACCGGUUAUGUCUUAGUCCUUACAUUAUGGUUUGACAAGCAACUACAACAGUGUCAGAAGCCCUCUUCUGCUGAGUACAGGUGCUUCAGUCUGUGAACAGGGUACUUACUUAACCUGGGGGAAACCUGUUUUUCAGUGUGCUAAGGACCUGGACUGGGACUGUGGUGCUUGCUCUCCCUGCCGCCCAGGCAAGCCUCAACUUGCUGUGAUCCCCCUGCUUCAACUUCCCAAAUGCUGAAAUCACGGUUUUGUUCUGAGAGAAAGCCUGAAAACUUCUUUCCUGGCCAGCUGGACUGCUGAGGCUUAAGCACAGAGCUCUCAGAUGGCCUCCACUGUGAAUACCCAGAGGUCACUGUGAAAGCUUCUUCACAUCGCUUUGCCACUGACCUGAACCCACGCUGGGAUAGGUUGCUGUCAGCGCAGAGUCCGUCUCAGCACACCUGGCUGCGAUGUCCCUCUAGUCUUCUGUCUCCCUCCGUUGCCUCCCCACAUCUAAAAUCCCUCCUCGCUCGUCUAUCUGCUCAUCCUCAAUUAUCUUUUCCAUCUGUCCAAUUCUCACUCGUUCUUUAGGGCGCCGCGGGAAGCUCGUCGCUUCUGUGAAGUGACACAUGUAAUUUAGUCGUCACAUGUCUGCUCUGGAGGCCAGAGCUUUAGGGGUCCCGAGAUGCAGCAUGAAGAAGGGUAGCCGCUGACCUCAGGGAGCCCAGACAGAGAAUGACAGCAGGACUAUGUGUAAACUCCAGGGACUGACAUCUGAGCCUGAGAGAGUGCCUCCUUCCUCCCAGACCAGAACCCUCCCUGCUUCGAAUUCUGUCAUUUAAGCCUGGGUCCCAUCUAGAAGUCACCUCCUCUGCCUUGCACAGUUGGUGUUCUCUUCCUGUGAGUCUUUACACCCUCCUUUCAGCCAAACCAAGAUGGGGGAGACCUUAACCCCAUUUUCCUCCUGGCCCGAGCACAGGGCCUACCAGACUUGCUUUGGUUCCUGAUGUCUGUGUGGUUGGCUUGCUCCGUGGCUGUGGGCCUGUGUCGUCAUGACAGUGGUACAGUGAACAUUUCACUUUACGAUAUCCAGGAAGGAGAGGGAGGGCCAGAGGGAAGGAAAGACAGACUGACUUGUCACAGGCCUGCCCUCAGUGAUCUUUUUUCCAAACAGGCCUCCAGUGGUGGUGCAUGCCUUUAUCCCAGCACUCGAGAGGCAGAGGCAGGU